rnacentral:rRNA from 1 species
UGGGGAAUAUUGCACAAUGGACGAAAGUCUGAUGCAGCAACGCCGCGUGGAGGAUGACACAUUUCGGUGCGUAAACUCCUUUUAUAUAGGAAGAUAAUGACGGUACUAUAUGAAUAAGCGCCGGCUAACUCCGUGCCAGCAGCCGCGGUAAUACGGAGGGCGCAAGCGUUACUCGGAAUCACUGGGCGUAAAGAGCGUGUAGGCGGGUUAAUAAGUCAGAAGUGAAAUCCUAUAGCUCAACUAUAGAACUGCUUUUGAAACUGUUAACCUAGAAUAUGGGAGAGGUAGAUGGAAUUUCUGGUGUAGGGGUAAAAUCCGUAGAGAUCAGAAGGAAUACCGAUUGCGAAGGCGAUCUACUGGAACAUUAUUGACGCUGAGACGCGAAAGCGUGGGGAGCAAACAGG